rnacentral:rRNA from 1 species
UUCUUGACGACAAUAGAGCAUUGGAACCACCUGAUCCCAUCCCGAACUCAGUAGUGAAACGAUGCAUCGCCGAUGGUAGUGUGGGGUUUCCCCAUGUGAGAGUAGGUCAUCGUCAAGAUU